GGUUCCAUGGUGUAGCGGUUGGCACAUCUGCUUUUCACGCAGAAGGUCCUAGGUUCACACUCCAGUGGAGCUA
rnacentral:tRNA from 1 species